rnacentral:rRNA from 1 species
GACGAACGCUGGCGGCGUGCUUAACACAUGCAAGUCGAACGGAAAGGCCCUGCUUUUGUGGGGUGCUCGAGUGGCGAACGGGUGAGUAACACGUGAGUAACCUGCCCUUGACUUUGGGAUAACUUCAGGAAACUGGGGCUAAUACCGGAUAGGAGCUCCUGCUUCAUGGUGGGGGUUGGAAAGUUUCGGCGGUUGGGGAUGGACUCGCGGCUUAUCAGCUUGUUGGUGGGGUAGUGGCUUACCAAGGCUUUGACGGGUAGCCGGCCUGAGAGGGUGACCGGCCACAUUGGGACUGAGAUACGGCCCAGACUCCUACGGGAGGCAGCAGUGGGGAAUAUUGCACAAUGGGCGGAAGCCUGAUGCAGCAACGCCGCGUGCGGGAUGACGGCCUUCGGGUUGUAAACCGCUUUCGCCUGUGACGAAGCGUGAGUGACGGUAAUGGGUAAAGAAGCACCGGCUAACUACGUA